rnacentral:rRNA from 1 species
UCGACCUGAACUCAGACGUGAACAC